GCUUAUACAUGCAAGUCGAGCGAAUGGAUUAAGAGCUUGCUCUUAUGAAGUUAGCGGCGGACGGGUGAGUAACACGUGGGUAACCUGCCCAUAAGACUGGGAUAACUCCGGGAAACCGGGGCUAAUACCGGAUAACAUUUUGAACCGCAUGGUUCGAAAUUGAAAGGCGGCUUCGGCUGUCACUUAUGGAUGGACCCGCGUCGCAUUAGCUAGUUGGUGAGGUAACGGCUCACCAAGGCAACGAUGCGUAGCCGACCUGAGAGGGUGAUCGGCCACACUGGGACUGAGACACGGCCCAGACUCCUACGGGAGGCAGCAGUAGGGAAUCUUCCGCAAUGGACGAAAGUCUGACGGAGCAACGCCGCGUGAGUGAUGAAGGCUUUCGGGUCGUAAAACUCUGUUGUUAGGGAAGAACAAGUGCUAGUUGAAUAAGCUGGCACCUUGACGGUACCUAACCAGAAAGCCACGGCUAACUACGUGCCAGCAGCCGCGGUAAUACGUAGGUGGCAAGCGUUAUCCGGAAUUAUUGGGCGUAAAGCGCGCGCAGGUGGUUUCUUAAGUCUGAUGUGAAAGCCCACGGCUCAACCGUGGAGGGUCAUUGGAAACUGGGAGACUUGAGUGCAGAAGAGGAAAGUGGAAUUCCAUGUGUAGCGGUGAAAUGCGUAGAGAUAUGGAGGAACACCAGUGGCGAAGGCGAC
rnacentral:rRNA from 1 species